UGACCUCGAAUCAGGUAGGAAUACCCGCUGAACUUAAGCAUAUCAAUAAGCGGAGGAAAAGAAACCAACCGGGAUUACCUCAGUA
rnacentral:rRNA from 1 species